rnacentral:rRNA from 1 species
GAUGAACGCUGGCGGCGGGCUUAACACAUGCAAGUCGAACGGCAAGACGCGGCUUUCGUGCGGUGCCCGAGUGGCACACGGGCGAGUGACACGUGCGUAUCCUGCCCCUGACUUUGGGAUAACUACAGGCCACUGGGGCUCAUACCGGAUACGAGCGUCUGCUGCAUGGUGGGGGCUGGAUAGAUUCGGCGGUUGGGGAUGGGCUCGCGGCUUGUGAGCGUGUUGGUGGGGGCGUGGCUUACGAAGGAUUUGGCGGGUAACCGGCCUGAGAGGGUGACCGGCCACCUUGCCACUCUGAUACGGCCCGGAGUCCUACGGGAGACAGCAGUAGGGAAUAUUGCACAAUGGGCGGAAGCCUGAUGCAGGAACGCCGCGUUCGGGAUGACGGCCUUCGUUUUGGAGGCCGCUUGCGCCUGUGACGAUGCGUGAUUGACGGUAAUGGGUAAAGAAGCACCGGCUAACUACGUG